GGGGGCGAAAGGGCUCGACGUGAUGCAGGACGUGUCCAGAUAGCGAGUCGAGAUCGCCGGUAUCUCGUGAAACACGGCAAAAAACACAAACGCCGAACCAACGGCUCUGGCUGCCUAAACAGCAGUCCGAGGCUACCAUAGAGUAGCCAUGUCUGCCUCGUCUUGCCGAUCGGGCGGGACCAGGCAUAAUGCAGAUCGGCUACCCGGGCGCACGUGGCUCCAACGGGCGUUUUGGGGAAAUCUAAGAGUGAGCAGGUCGAGCAGGCUUGGGUGUGCGUGGGCGGCUCGUCCAACUAAACGCACACUACACUCGUAGAAGUCUUGGCACUCCCAUUGCGGACGCGGGUUCAAUUCCCGCCGCCUCCACCA
rnacentral:tmRNA from 1 species